rnacentral:lncRNA from 11 species
ACAUUUCUCUUUCUACUUCAUGGUGUUGUUGGAAAUUAUGCUCAAUGUAACAGAAGGAGAAAAGGUUACAGAAACUGGUCACUUGAGUGCAGCAUCGUGAGGCAGAACUGCUGCAUGCUUUAUCAGUGUGGCAGAGUUCUUCAUGAUUAAGAACAUAAUCUCUGGGUCUUGAGAGUAUUUAGAAAUGAAAUCCAGAGGGUCACUUCAAAUCUCUCCUUUGCAAUUACCUCAUUAGAAUUACUAAUUAACUGGCAGCAUGUGCUAUUAUUUAGUGUAAAUUACUCCAAAGUAAACCUAUAUAAGAUUCUCCUCCAUGAAACAAAGCUACCAUCCUUUGUGAUCUGUCUUCCACCUGCAGUAAAGUCACAUUUAUUCCCAAAUGGUGAACAAUUAUAA